CCUACGGGAGGCAGCAGUAGGGAAUAUUGCUCAAUGGGGGAAACCCUGAAGCAGCAACGCCGCGUGGAGGAUGAAGGUUUUCGGAUUGUAAACUCCUUUUGUUAGAGAAGAUAAUGACGGUAUCUAACGAAUAAGCACCGGCUAACUCCGUGCCAGCAGCCGCGGUAAUACGGAGCGUGCAAGCGUUACUCGGAAUCACUGGGCGUAAAGGGCGCGUAGGCGGGAUAGCAGGUCAGAUGUGAAAUCCUAUGGCUUAACCAUAGAACUGCAUUUGAAACUGUUAUUCUAGAGUAUGGGAGAGGUAGGUGGAAUUCUUGGUGUAGGGGUAAAAUCCGUAGAGAUCAAGAGGAAUACUCAUUGCGAAGGCGACCUGCUAGAACAUAACUGACGCUGAUGCGCGAAAGCGUGGGGAGCAAACAGGAUUAGAUACCCGGGUAGUC
rnacentral:rRNA from 1 species